rnacentral:rRNA from 1 species
GACAGAGGGUGCAAACGUUGUUCGGAAUUACUGGGCGUAAAGCGAGUGUAGGCGGUUCGAUAAGUCGGAUGUGAAAGCCCCGGGCUCAACCCGGGAAGUGCACUCGAUACUGUCGAGCUAGAGUAUCGGAGAGGUUGGUGGAAUUCUCGGUGUAGAGGUGAAAUUCGUAGAUAUCAGGAGGAACACCAAUUGCGAAGGCAGCUCGCUGGGACGUUACUGACGCUGAGACGCGAAAGCGUGGGGAGCAAACAGG